AGGGGUGUAGCUCAGUUGGUAGAGCGGCGGUCUCCAAAACCGCGUGUCGUGGGUUCAAGUCCUGUCACCCCUGCCA
rnacentral:tRNA from 1 species